rnacentral:rRNA from 1 species
CUUUAUGCAUGCAGUCGAACGGUUUUCGAGUCUUCGGACUUAAAAAUAGUGGCAAACGGGUGAGUAACACGUAGGUAACUUACCCCUAAGUUUGGGAUAACUCCGGGAAACCGGGGCUAAUACCGGAUGUGGUGAACAGAUUAUGUCUGUUCACUAAAGCCUUCGGGCGCUUGGGGAGGGGCCUGCGUCCGAUUAACUCGUUGGUGGGGUAAUGGCUCACCAAGGCUAUGAUCGGUAGCUGGUCUGAGAGGACGGUCAGCCACACUGGGACUGAGACACGGCCCAGACUCCUACGGGAGGCAGCAGCAAGGAAUUUUGGGCAAUGGGCGAAAGCCUGACCCAGCAACGCCGCGUGGGGGAUGAAAGCCCUCGGGUUGUAAACCCCUUUUCCCAGGGAAGAAUAAUGACGGUACCUGGGGAAUAAGCCCCGGCUAACUACGUGCCAGCAGCCGCGGUAAUACGUAGGGGGCAAGCGUUAUCCGGAUUUACUGGGCGUAAAGAGGACGUAGGCGGCUUUUCAAGUCGGAUGUGAAAUUUCCCGGCUCAACCGGGACGAGUCAUUCGAUACUGUCGGGCUAGAGGAUAGCAGGGGGAGACGGAAUUCCCGGUGUAGUGGUGGAAUACGUAGAUACCGGGAGGAACACCAGAGGCGAAGGCGGUCUCCAAGGCUAUUUCUGACGCUGAGGUCCGAAAGCGUGGGUAGCAAACAGACUUAGAUACUCUGGUAGUCCACGCUGUAAACGAUGGACACUAGGUAUAGGGAGCAUCGACCCUCUUUGUGCCGAAGCUAACGCCUUAAGUGUCCCGCCUGGGGACUACGGCCGCAAGGCUAAAACUCAAAGGGAUUGACGGGGGCCCGCACAAGCAGCGGAGCGUGUGGUUUAAUUCGAUGCAACGCGAAGAACCUUACCAAGGCUUGACAUGUCGGAAGUAGUGAACCGAAAGGGGAACGACCCGUUAAAUCGGGAGCCGUCACAGGUGCUGCAUGGCUGUC